rnacentral:rRNA from 1 species
UACGUAGGGUGCGAGCGUUAAUCGGAAUUACUGGGCGUAAAGCGUGCGCAGGCGGUUUGUUAAGACAGAUGUGAAAUCCCCGGGCUUAACCUGGGAACUGCAUUUGUGACUGGCAAGCUAGAGUAUGGCAGAGGGGGGUAGAAUUCCGCGUGUAGCAGUGAAAUGCGUAGAUAUGUGGAGGAACACCGAUGGCGAAGGCAGCCCCCUGGGCCAAUACUGACGCUCAUGCACGAAAGCGUGGGGAGCAAACAGG